AUAUUCUCCAUGGAAUUGUUAUGCUACAGGUUUUCUUAUUUAUCUUGGAUGCGCAUAAUGGUUACAAUAUCUUACAAUAAUUAAUGGCGCUUAUGAAAGUGGUGUUUGUAUGCAUGUAUUGUUAUUCAAUAGCCAUAUGUCACAAUAGAAACACCAAAAACCCUUUUCCUUUUUACUUCUUUUUGGACCUCUUUCUUUAGGUAUGCGUUACUUUUCUUUUGGAUAAUCUAUUAUAGAUCUAUUCAGUUUCAUCUAUUUCAAUUGAUAAU
rnacentral:lncRNA from 1 species